rnacentral:rRNA from 1 species
CUACGGUGAAUACGUUCCCGGACCUUGUACACACCGGCCCGUCGAAGCCAUGGAAGCUGGGUGUACCUAAAGGUCGAUAACCGUAAGGAGUCGCCCAAGGUAAAACUAGUAACUGGGGCU